GAGAAAGCAAUUUUCGAUGCUCGUAUAAGCCGAUCGAACGUACUCCCAUUUUUCUAAAGUGAAGCCGAUGCGAUUGAUUCUGUUGUACGUGCUCGAUUGAAAAAAAAAGUAAAAAAAAAGAAAAAAAGAAAAAAAAAGGAACGAACGAAACAAGCAUAGACCGAUCUCAUUUUUUAAUUCGGAGGUUGCCUCGAUCGAUCGACAAAAAAAACUAACGGUUUCAUUCGAUCUUACCAACUGUGCCUAAACAUUAAUCGUGCGAUUUUCUACCUGUCAGAUCGCCUACUUUUUUUUCAAUGCAUCCCAUUGGAAAGGAUAAUAAUCGUGGCAGAGAUGGGAUCAAAUUCUAUAUGCUUCUUUUACGUGUACUUUAAAGUUACGUUUAUGAAAGGACUUACAGUAAGAAAAUAUAUAUCACAGAUCGACUAACCUGAUUCAAAAUAAACGUGAUGACCAAAUCGAUUGGCUACAUGCUGAAUAAAUAUACCAACAGCACCCUGUGUCCCAUGGGAGAGAAUUUGAACCAACAUUCCUACUAGUAUGACGAGCCAACCCCAACCACCUUCUGGAUAGUAAUGUUGCUUUAACGUCAACAGCUGCCUUAAAUCGGCUACCAGCUGUUUCGUACCAUGUUGACCUGGACCAGGUACUGUCUGUUCAUUAGCACUGCAUCCGACACCGCUGUCGUGUACGGACAAUCUUGGGAGUGAUCUGCUACGAUACAGCAAAGAUGUUACUGGCGUCUCUAAUCUUGAAUCAGGACCACGUACUGGAGCGGUAUUAGUUAAGAUAACCUUCGCCGAGGUUUCAUGCCUUUCAUAUGAUCGUAAACAUGAAAUGGAUCGAUGAAUAGUUUAAUGAUCCAAUGGAUCCUGGAGAUACUGAGAAGACACGAAAAGGAGAACGACCGAGCGCGGCACGCUUAGAUCGCGAACUGCCGAUGGCAAAGAGCGUCACGAGUUGAGACUCAGCGCGGCUGCGGCUCUCGACUCCAUAGGCGAACUCGAUCCAACGUUGAUCCAUCUCUCUCUCUCUCUCUCUCUCUCUCUCUCUUUUUCUGUCUCUCUCUGUCUCUUUCUCU